CUACAGACCAUAUAUAACAUGACCUCCUCCUAACCAGGGGUACACUACAGACCAUAUAUAACAUGGCCCCCCCUCACCAGAGGUACACUAUAGACCAUAUAUAACAUGGCCUCCCCCUCACCAGGGGUACACUACAGACCAUAUAUAACAUGCCCCCCCCCCUCACCAGGGGUACCCUACAGACCAUAUAUAACAUGGUCCCCUCCUCACCAGGGGUACACUACAGACCAUAUAUAACAUGCCCCCCCCCCCUCACCAGGGGUACACUACAGACCAUAUAUAACAUGGCCUCCCCCUCACCAGGGGUACACUACAGACCAUAUAUAACAUGGCCUCCCCCUCACCAGGGGUACACUACAGACCAUAUAUAACAUGGCCUCCCCCUCACCAGGGGUACACUACAGACCAUAUAUAACAUGGCCUCCCCCUCACCAGGUGUACACUACAGACCAUAUAUAACAUGGCCUCCCCCUCACCAGGUGUACACUACAGAUCCUGUUUGACUCCUGUAUAACAAACCAUUAAACCAUACAACUACAGCAUGUUCUGUACCCAGAGUUAUCUCUCUUGCUUUAUUCAACCAAUUCAAACAUCAUCUUAUAGUCUAUGAACUCGUAUUUCAUGAUCAAAAUAUGUGUUAUUGACUAGCAUUAUGGAUUUUGUUAUCAAUAUUUUGUCAUUAACGGAUUAUUUUGAAACAACCCAUAAUUUGUUUAGUCAAAGACUAUAGAAAUUAUUUAAUUUUGUAUCAACAAAAUCGUACAUUUUGUAAUUGCAAAUUUGCCAUAAAUAAAAUAACUACGAAAAAUGAUGCUGAGAUGUAGACAAUUAAUAUAUUCACUCUGACCUUAGCUAACGAUAGCGAUAAUGAAAAUAUUCACUCUGAUCUUGGUUACAGCGGAUGAUAAUAUAUUCAUUGACCUACGUCACAGUUACGAUUAUUAAUAUAUUCACUCUGACCUUAGCUAAACGUGACGAUUAUUAAUAUAUUCACUCUGACCGUAGCUAACAGUGAUGAUUAUUAAAAAAAUAUAUUCACUCGGACCUUAGAUAACAGUGAUGAUUAUUAAUAUACUCACUCUGACCUUAGCUAACAGUGACGAUUAUUAAUAUAUCCACUCUGACCUUAGCUAACAGUGACGAUUAUUAAUAUAUUCACUAUGACCGUAGCUAACAGUGACGAUUAUUAAUAUAUUCACCCUGACCUUAGCAAACAGUGAUGAUUAUUAAUAUAUUCACUCCGACCUUAGCUUACAGUGACGAUUUAUAAUAUAUUUACGCUGACCUGUGACCUCUGCAGUGUGCAUGUGUCGGCUUACUAUACCAUGUAUAUUACGUACUGUAUUUUUCCAUGUAUUACUGGAUGUGUGUGAUAGUCACAUAAAAUUUGCAUAUCAAGAGUUACUGAUCAUGACGCUUACAAAUAUGAAGUUUUAAUAACAGGUUCAAAUAAAUUUAUGUACAAGA